CAAAACAUAAACACAUGGAUCCAUAUCUGAAUUUACUUCAGGUUUAAAUAUCAGAUAAUUUUAUUAAUUCAAAUCACUCCAAGGUAUAGAGAAAUACAAUGUACCCCAAUAUAUUUUAUUAUUUUUUAAUUGCUUCAUUCCAAAUAUGCUGUCACUCUAAGACCAUCAUAGAAACUAUAGUACAAAAUAAGGAACUAUUGACUCAAAUUACUUAUGACCACAGAUGCAAAACUCUAAAUGACAUUUUAGCAAAUAGAAUCUUGUAGUAUAUUUUAAAAAUUAGUAAAGAUUUUAUUCUAAAAUUUAAGAGUGAUAGAAUAUCAGGAAAUUAAAAUAGUGUAUGAUUUUAAAUUUAAAAAUUAAUAUAUUUAUCGACGCUGGCACUAUGGUCAUGGCGGAGGGGACGGCAGUGCUGAGGCGGAACAGGCCGGGCACCAAGGCACAGGAUUUCUAUAAUUGGCCUGAUGAAUCCUUUGAUGAAAUGGACAGUACACUAGCUGUUCAGCAGUAUAUUCAACAGAACAUAAGAGCAGAUUACUCCAAUAUUGACAAAAUUCUUGAACCACCUGAAGGCCAAGAUGAAGGCGUAUGGAAGUAUGAACAUUUAAGGCAAUUCUGCCUUGAGCUAAAUGGACUUGCUGUCAAACUUCAGAGUGAAUGCCAUCCAGAUACUUGCACUCAAAUGACAGCAACUGAACAAUGGAUUUUUCUUUGUGCAGCUCAUAAAACUCCAAAAGAGUGUCCUGCUAUAGACUAUACAAGACACACACUUGAUGGUGCUGCAUGUCUUCUGAAUAGCAAUAAAUAUUUUCCCAGCAGGGUUAGCAUAAAGGAAUCAUCUGUAGCAAAACUAGGAUCAGUAUGCCGUAGGAUUUACAGAAUAUUUUCACAUGCUUAUUUUCAUCACCGGCAGAUAUUUGAUGAAUAUGAAAAUGAAACAUUUUUGUGUCAUCGGUUUACUUAGUUUGUGAUGAAAUAUAAUUUGAUGUCCAAGGAUAACCUGAUUGUACCAAUUUUAGAAGAGGAAGUUCAGAAUUCAGUUUCUGGGGAAAGUGAAGCAUGAAGGGAAUCAUAUAGAAAAAUGUACUGAUCACAUAAUUAACAUUAAUUAUGUACUGUAUAUAUAUCAUUUUAGACACAUCAAUCAUGUAUCCAUAUUAUAGCUUCUUCGUUUAGUAUAGGAUUUUGUAUGCUGUGUUUGCCUUUUAAAAUGGGAAAUACUUUUUAAGUUAUUCAUAAGCUGUAUAUUCACUGGUGUGGCACUCAUGGUUUUUAAAUAAGAUUAGUAUUAUCUGUUUAUAAUGCCUGUUAAUAAAAGAAUUUACAGUUUGGUAAAAUUGCUGCUAAACAAUCAUUGGAUCACAAUCCUCAUCAAAUAAACCC